rnacentral:rRNA from 1 species
UACAGAGGGUGCGAGCGUUAAUCGGAAUUACUGGGCGUAAAGCGUGCGUAGACGGCUAUCUAAGUCGGGUGUGAAAGCCCCGGGCUCAACCUGGGAAUUGCAUUCGAGACUGAAUAGCUAGGGUACGGUAGAGGGAAGUGGAAUUUCCGGUGUAGCGGUGAAAUGCGUAGAUAUCGGAAGGAACAUCAGUGGCGAAAGCGACUUCCUGGACCAGUACCGACGUUCAGGCACGAAAGCGUGGG